rnacentral:misc_RNA from 1 species
GAUGAAGAACGCAGCGAAAUGCGAUAAGUAAUGUGAAUUGCAGAAUUCAGUGAAUCAUCGAAUCUUUGAACGCACCUUGCGCCUUUUGGUAUUCCGAAAGGCACACCUGUUUGAGCGUCAUGAAUACCUCAAUCUCCAUCUUUUCUUCGGAUUGAUGGGUGACUUGGAUGUUGAGCCCUGCUGGUAUGCUAUAUCAGCUGGCUUUAAGCUUAUUAGCCGGCUCUGUACUGGAUCGGUUUGACUCGACGUGAUAAUAUUAUCGUUGAGGAUGCAUGUCUCAUGCAGCCGGAAAGUAUCAAAGCAGCUUCUAGCUUGCCUUUAGUGCACUUUUACAUUUUAGACCUCAGAUCAGGUGGGACUACCCGCUGAACUUAAGCAUAUCAAUAAGCGGAGGA